AACCUGCAAGCAAAGAGUAGAGGCUGCAGGGAUCCCUGAGCUGCAGCAGUGCCCCCUGGUGGGAUUGGGGGGGGAGGGCCUUGAACUGCAGAUAAAUUUAGUAACAAGCAAGUGCCAGAGGAUGGUGGAGUCAGCAGGUUGUACAGGACCCACCCUCCCUCCCGGCACUAGGCUGAGAAGCUGACAGCCCAACUUUUGCAGAGAUACUGAUGAUGCCCAACAUCUACUUCCCUCCAAUCUCCUGUCCAUUCUCUGCUCUGUUUACUGACAGGGAAUAGUACCAGCAGAAAUGCCUUAUCUAGUCUUGUUUUCUGUUUGUGUCAAGGACAAACAUUUCUGUGAUUUCCUUGCUUCAGGGACCAUGUCUUGGACCCUGUGCAUCCCCAUCCAAAAGAUAGUAACACCAGGCUUUUGGGAAGGAGUCCAUGAAGUGGAAAGGCCGGGAUCACCUCUUCCAGUGCAUUCAUCUGCAUGGUCCUGAUCCCUGCCAGCAGUUUAUGUUGACAUGGGCAUCAGUAAUGGGAGCCAGAGACUCAAAAGAUGCUCCAAAGGCACAGACCAGUGACCUGAAGCCACUGAGGAGAGAGCCUGUCCUUCUCUCAAUACUGGGAAAUGUCUGAUAAAUAUUUUUAUCAUGUUAAAGUAAACAUGCAUGAGGGUCGAUUUCACUCAUCUAUUUGCCAGUUACUUCACCAAAACUGUACUUCUGGCUGGUAUGUGUGUCGCCCAAAUCAGUCAACAUCCCUGGAUCCCAACUCACCUGCGAGACUCCGAGUCUCUCGACUUCCUCGACUCUUUGACUUCAUCAAAGGACACAACAGACCGCUUCUCUCUGCUGGCCGAUUUGCGAUCCUGGCUCUUAGACACCUGGUUCACCAAGAAGCAUUGACAAGUUAAACCAGGAAGAAUCAACUGUGUCCAGGUCCAAGCAUCCAAGAUCAGAAAUGAAGCUGAACAGCAAAUGAAAUAAUCAGGUAACACUGUAUUCUCUCUGGAGAAACCUCACCUUGGCUCACCAAAAUCCAGACUCAUAGACUCACUACCAAGCUAGUAGUGAGCUUGGUACUCAAUGGAUUCAAUUGCCUAACUUCAGUAGUCAACAUUGAAAAGAGGAUUUUCUCAGAAACUUCAUUUAAGAUUAAAAAAAAACAAAAAACAAAAAA